rnacentral:rRNA from 1 species
UACGUAGGGGGCAAGCGUUGUCCGGAUUUAUUGGGCGUAAAGAGCGUGUAGGCGGCCGUACAGGUCAGCCUGUGAAAACUCGAGGCUCAACCUCGAGACGUCGGUUGAAACCGUACGGCUAGAGUCCGGAAGAGGAGAGUGGAAAUUCCCGGUGUAGCGGUGAAAUGCGCAGAUAUCGGGAAGAACACCCGUGGCGAAGGCGGCUCUCUGGGACGGUAC